rnacentral:antisense_RNA from 1 species
CUUGAGGGAGCCCAGCCAGAGCGGUUCGCCGUCGCGCUCCCGCCCGUAGGUGGCGAGCAGCGCCCCGGCCUC